AGGGUUCGAUUCUGGCUCAGGAUGAACGCUGGCGGCGUGCUUAACACAUGCAAGUCGAACGGGAUCCAUCAAGCUUGCUUGGUGGUGAGAGUGGCGAACGGGUGAGUAAUGCGUGACCGACCUGCCCCAUACACCGGAAUAGCUCCUGGAAACGGGUGGUAAUGCCGGAUGCUCCGACUCCUCGCAUGGGGUGUCGGGAAAGAUUUCAUCGGUAUGGGAUGGGGUCGCGUCCUAUCAGGUAGUCGGCGGGGUAACGGCCCACCGAGCCUACGACGGGUAGCCGGCCUGAGAGGGCGACCGGCCACAUUGGGACUGAGAUACGGCCCAGACUCCUACGGGAGGCAGCAGUGGGGAAUAUUGCACAAUGGGCGCAAGCCUGAUGCAGCGACGCCGCGUGCGGGAUGACGGCCUUCGGGUUGUAAACCGCUUUUGAUCGGGAGCAAGCCUUCGGGUGAGUGUACCUUUCGAAUAAGCACCGGCUAACUACGUGCCAGCAGCCGCGGUAAUACGUAGGGUGCAAGCGUUAUCCGGAAUUAUUGGGCGUAAAGGGCUCGUAGGCGGUUCGUCGCGUCCGGUGUGAAAGUCCAUCGCUUAACGGUGGAUCUGCGCCGGGUACGGGCGGGCUGGAGUGCGGUAGGGGAGACUGGAAUUCCCGGUGUAACGGUGGAAUGUGUAGAUAUCGGGAAGAACACCAAUGGCGAAGGCAGGUCUCUGGGCCGUUACUGACGCUGAGGAGCGAAAGCGUGGGGAGCGAACAGGAUUAGAUACCCUGGUAGUCCACGCCGUAAACG
rnacentral:rRNA from 1 species